rnacentral:rRNA from 1 species
GCCCCGUAAUCGGAAUGAGUACACUUUAAAUCCUUUAACAAGGAUCCAUUGGAGGGCAAGUCUGGUGCCAGCAGCCGCGGUAAUUCCAGCUCCAAUAGCGUAUAUUAAAGUUGUUGCGGUUAAAAAGCUCGUAGUUGGUUCUGCGUGCCGCGCUGUCGGUUCGCCGCCUGUCGGUGUAACUGGCAUGUCGCGGCAUGUCCUGUCGGUGGUGAACGGAGUCCACAAUGCUACAUAGGCUUUAUAGCCGAUGUUAGCGUUGUGUGCACUUCCGUUGGCCGAUCUCUCCUACUUCGGUGCUCUUAAACGAGUGUCGAGGUAGGCCGACACGUUCACUUUGAACAAAUUAGAGUGCUUAAAGCAGGCUGAAAUAUCUGCCUGAAUAGUGGUGCAUGGAAUGAUAAAACAGGACCUCGGUUCUAUUUUGUUGGUUUUAGGAAUAUGAGGUAAUGAUCAAUGUGGACUGGCGGGGGCAUUCGUAUUGCGACGUUAGAGGUGAAAUUCUUGGAUCGUCGCAAGACGCACUAGAGCGAAAGCAUUUGCCAAGUAUGUCUUAAUUGAUCAAGAACGAAAGUUAGAGGUUCGAAGGCGAUCAGAUACCGCCCUAGUUCUAACCAUAAACGAUGCCAGCCAGCGAUCCGCCGAUGUUCCUUUAAUGACUCGGCGGGGAGCUUCCACCCGGGAAACCAAAGCUUUUGGGUUCCGGGGGAAGUAUGGUUGCAAA